rnacentral:rRNA from 1 species
GACGAACGCUGGCGGCGUGCUUAACACAUGCCAGUCGAACGGAAAGGCCCUUUUGGGGUUACUCGAGUGGCGGACGGGGGCGUAACACGUAGGUAACCAGCCCUUGACAUUUGUAUAACUUCAGGAAACUGGGGCAAAUACCGGUAAGGCAUCAUUGCUCCAUGGUGGGGGUUGGAAAGCUUCGGGGGCCUUGGGCGGACUGGCGGCCUAUUAGCUUGUUGGUGGGUUAGUGGCUUACCAAGGCUCUGACGGGUAGCCGGCCUGUGAGGGUGAGCGGCCGCAUUGGGACUGAGGGGAGGCACAGGUGGCGACGGGUGGCAGAAGGGGGGAAGAUUGCACCAGGGGCGGCAGGCUGGUGCAGAAGGGCCGCGUGCGGGAUAACGGCCUUGGGGUUGAAAACCGGCUUCAGCAGGAGCGAAGCUUGUGGUGACGGUACCUGAAGAAGAAGCACCGGCUAACUACGUG